CUCGAUUUUUCCUCCAUAAAAAUUAUCCAGUUUUAACCCCUUCUUGUUUUUCUUGGUGUUGGGAAGUUGUUCCUGGGCACUGUUUGCCAUCACUAUUGUGGUUUUUCCCUUUCCUUUCCAGUCAGAAAUCUGAGUGAGCAUUGCAGGCUCUCUGUGUAUGGAGCUAAGGAGCAAGGAUUUUUCCUGAGGCCAGCUCUCUAAUUUCUGCAGCUUCUACUGUUUGCUGCCUUUCUCUGUGCUAUCUCCCUGUAGAUGUCCUGGUUUACGCUCUUCAACCUGUUGGGGUUUCAAGUCUAGCUGCUCUCAGGGGUAGGUCUUUGGUGGUUUUAGUCAGCUCCCAAGGACCUAAAGGUGCCUCUCACUCCCUCUAGAGUUGCCCCUUACUCACUCACUGAUUUUAGCAUGUGCUGCCUCUGACUUUGGCUCCAUAGUUGGGGUGGGGGUGGUUAGAUCAGCUCACAUUUUGGUGGAAGCUAUUUCACCCCCUUAUGGUGUGGAAAUGCCCAAAUCCUAUGUACCUUCAAUGCUGUACCCUACUGUAGAGUCCCUUCAUUCGUAUGAAUUAGUCUUUUUUUUGUCUUUUAAGGUAGUCUAUAUCAGUAGAUGCUGAGGAGAGGAAGAGUCCUGUGUCUAGACUGCUGGCAAGUUUACCUGGAAGUCCUGGACUUACCAUUCUGAAGAAUGAUUUGGAACUAUACCUAAAGAAUUUAAAAACUGCAUAUACUCUUUUUUAUAUAUCUCAAAGAGAAUAAAGAAAAGGAAAAAUGACUUGUAUAUACCAAAAUAUUUAUAGAUACUCCUUUUGUGGUGGCAAAAAGCUGGUAAUUGAGGAGAUGCCCAUCAAGUGGGGAAUGGCUGAACAAAUAGUGGCAAUUGGGAAAAAUAUAAUAAAGCCUUUGGGGCAAAAAGAUGUGAUGUCAACAAACUGAGGAAGGUAGGUAGAUGGCAGUAUUGACUGCUUUGCAUAAAAGAUUUACCUUUUAUCUCUUAAACAAUACUGCAUUACUCCCUGUUUCUAUUCUGCUCUAUAGUUCUAAUUAACUUGUGCUAUUGCAUAUCAGAGUAAUUUUAAAAUUGUAAAUUUAAUCAAUGUUAAGAAUUUGGAAAAAGGUCAAGGGGCAAAUCAAUGUAAGAAGACAUAU
rnacentral:lncRNA from 1 species